UGGGGACGGGGGCGGGCGCGGGUGGGACGCGAACUGCCAACGGGAGCGCCGAGAGAGGGCCGGGAGGCGGGCUCUGCGGCCGGCCCGUCCACGGGGGAAAAGUUCAGCCAAUGGGCGCGCGCCCCUCAUCCCGGGCUCCGAAGCGCCCGCUUGGCCGCUCCUAUUCCGGCGGGUGGCCGCCCAGGGCCACGCCCGGCUGCCCGUCGCAAGGUGGGAGAAUGCGGCGAGGCCGGAGUGGGAGAGCGCGGGCAGCCAUUGUGGCGUGCUCCCGCGGCGCCUACGUGGAGUCCCGCGCCGGGUCCGUGAGAGGGGAGCCGCGGCUCUGUGGACUCCUGCAACCUCGGCGGGAUGCUUUUUAGCGAGGAAACCGAGCGUGCGUCUCGUCCAGCGCCGCGGACCAAUCGUGCCGCAAUAAUACCGUACAAAACGUAUCGAUGGUGAGAAAAGUUAGAAUAAUGGUGACCCCGGGAAUGGAAGGGGCACGAGGGAACCUACUGGGAGCUGGAAACGUUCUGUCUCUGGAUCUGUUUAAUUCUCAGGAUCAGCUGAAAAACUCUGAGAAGACAGAGGUAAAAUAUUGCCUCCCCUACAAUUCCUGGUGACAAUGAUGGGACAUCAGUGACCGUAACACUAAGAGAUCAGGUCCCAUCUGAUCAAAGGCCAGGAGAAGGAAACAGAACGCCGCAAUGACCACUGGUGCAUGUUCGCUCAGACUGGAGAUCUCUGAGAAAACUCAAGGUUGCAGGGUUAAAAAUAACCCGAAAGGAUCAGAGUGAAAUGCCCUUGGAACGUGUGUGGUCAGUUCUAAAGUGCGCAGCAGAAGAUGUUUUGUAGAUAGGAAACCAGCUGUAAACAGCACACUGUGCACUCCCCUCUUUGUUUCCUUGUCCUGUAAAUUCUGUUUACAGUGCUUGACUAAUCCUGUAUACAUGGAGGAAUGUGCCUUACUACGCCCCUGCUGUAGAAGGUAUAUAAGAGUAUGGAAAAUAAACCUCGGCACCUCGGGCUGUUUGCUCGGGGUCCCCUGGGC